CUUCCAUCCUCAAGAUUAUUUUAAGAUUCAAGACAGCUACUGGAGCUCCAGCAAUUUUAUCCCAUUCCAGGCUUGGGAAGGAAGAUGAAGAAAUUGCUUCUUUCUUUUGAAGAAAACAACUCAAAAGACAACUGCUGUUUACAUCUCACUGGCUAGAACUUGAUCACAUGACUGAAUACAACUGCAAGGGGACCUGGGAAAGAUUAUUGUCUCAGCUAUGCACAUUGUCCAGGGUUCUGUUUUUAAGGAAUAAUAAGUGGAUUGAUGAACACUGGAAGUCACCUAGCAGUCUUUACCACAAAUGGUUCCAACCAGAGAAGGAAGCCAAUUGAACUCCUGGGAUAUAUUAAUUACAUGUUUUAUUCGACCAUG